UUCUUAAGUAUCUAGGGGGUGGAGUAAGGGUGUAUGAUCAUGGCAGAGCCCUAGAGGGCAGGUGUGUGCAGGGGUCUGGACACAGAGAAUGGCCGACACCCUGUUUCCUGGCAACUGAUGGCCUGGGCCCUUCCCCCCCUGCAAGGUGAGAGCUAAAGGGUUGGAGAACAAAGGAAUCAGGUGACCACCUGGCCCGGGAAAGGAACAAAGCCCAGAGGAGGAGGGGCUGGAGGGAGUGUCAGUUUGGGGCUGGCUGGGACAUGGAGUGAAGUGCAGACGUGGUUGUCUGGCUCACUACCCCCCAAAAUGGACCCAGCUGAGGGGUCCCGUUCUCUGCACCUGCAAGCUCUGUGUUAGACCAUGUUCCUGUCGUCUAAUAAACCUUCUGUUUUACUGGCUGGCUGAGAGUCACGUCUGACUGCGAAGUUGGGGUGCAGGACCCUCUGGCUUCCCCAGGAGCCCCGCCUGAGCGGACUCGCUGUGGGAAGCGCACGGAGGGGCAGAGGAUGCUGAAUGCUCCGAGGUCAGACCCAGGAAGGUGGAAGCUGUGUGAGCUGUGUGUCCUGAAGACAGGCUGCUCACAGAAAGGCGACUGCCCCAGAGUCCUGACUGGCUUCAUGGGGAGCAGUUCCAGAGCAUCGCCCAGGGACUCCGUGACAACUGGUGGCAGCGGUGGGAUGUACUGCACCCCGUGGAUGGCGCUUCCUGCAGUAAGUGACUGGGGAGCAGUAACACGAAGGGGGAUUGCCGAGGACUAGGCCUGCUGAAGGCUCAGAGAGGAGCGGUUUCGGGGGCGGUUAACCCCUGGGAGUGUGUGACCAGCGAGAAGGACUGUGCAGUAGCAGGGUUCCCCUGGGGAUUGCAGCAAGCAGUCCAAGGGGCGGAGGAGUCUGCAGCUCGACCCUGGCAAAGAGGUGGUGACCUCGAGAAGGGCUGGCACACUAGGGGUUCUCCCUGGAAACCGUGGGGAGCUGAGAACACACGGGCCUGUGAGUCCACAACAACUUGGGAGGAGCGGAGUGAUGGCCUGUCACCGUCUCCUUAAGAAGGACAUUGUCACCCUGUGCAAAAAGAGAGGGUUGAGAGUUGGAAAGUGCACCAAAGCAGAGUUAAUCGUGCAGCUGGAGGAGGAUGACCGCUCUAAGGAACAGAUUCCUGACCCCAACUGGGGCUAUAGCAGGAUCUGGGAGCAGCUGAAGCGGGAGCCAGGCAUCGCCAAGACUCCUGUCCCCGACCAGACGAGGGUCUUCACGAUCGGGUUCCCCAUCGGGGGAUCGAGACGGACGGGAUUGGAGCUGAGUCUGAGAGAGCAAGAGGACUGUGAGAGACAGCGAGAGCCCGAGAAAGAGCUGCAGAAGCAGCAGCAGCAUGAACUGGCGGUGGGGGAGCGGAGAGGCCUAGGGGACCCCUCAGGGGUGAGUGGGGAUAGACCCCGGGGGGCCAGUUCCGCAGGGAACCUCGAGACUAAAUUGCUGCCCCUGGUUAAGGGGGGGGGUUUGGAUGCCCACCUCACUGCCUUUGAGCAGGCUGGCGAUUUGAACCAAGGGGACCCUGCGGAAAAGCCCCGGUGUCUAGCUCCCUUGCUGGGUCCCAAGGCCUUAGACUCCGUCAGCCAGAUGGUUGCGGAUGUGGACAGGCUCCCACUCCUGACCCCAACCUAUAUGUCUGUGUGGAGUUUCCUGGGGCCAGCCCCCCCCGGACCUCCAGUGGGAGCAGAAGGUGAUGGUCAAUGGGGAGACAUUCUUGGGGUGGCCAAAGGGCAUGGGCUGCAUAAACCUUCCCACAUGCGGCCUGCAAGUGCUAUCGACCACCCCUGACCUAAGGGAGGGCGUGAAACUGGAAGGGCCUGGUGUAACUCCUACCAAGGAAUGGGAGAGAUGCUGGGGCAUCCAUGGGAAUGUUGGUGGCUUCGAACUUCCCCAGGUCACCGGCUAAAGUGACCCCGCUCAGUUCGAUCUCGAAGGGGGGGAGAGAUGUGACGAAGUGGGACUGUUCUUAAUGUUUCCUCUGAAUAGUGUGGGGGUGCCUCAGUUUCCCCCAGGCAGUUCUUAAGUAUCUAGGGGGUGGAGUAAGGGUGUAUGAUCAUUGCAGAGCCCUAGAGGGCAGGUGUGUGCAGGAGUC